UUGGUUCUCACCUUUCUUGUACUCUAGGGGACAAUCAAGUAGAAUGAUGCGAGGGUUUACAAUCUUUCUCUUCAUUUUGCCAGGGGCAACUACAUCUUUGUUCAUCAUUACUCCUUUAAGCACCACAGAGUCUUCCAACUGCCCACCAGGCACCUUCUCAAUCUUGAUGUACUUCUUGAUGUCCACCUCGCGUAACCCUUGGCCAAGUUCCACACCAACCAUUCUUGUGGCAUCAAUUGCUAAAUCUGAAAUUAAAUCCCCAAAUUGACUAGUAAAUUUUGUGCCGAUGCAACUCUUAACCAAACCCAACAUUGUUUCACGAUCUUCAACAUCAACUGUCAUUGCAAUUUUGUCAAGCACGGCAACAGCAUCUUCAAGAGCUUUGGCAUAAGCUCUACAUAUUACUGUAGGAUGAUACUUCUUGUCAAUAAAAGCUUCCGCAACAUGGAGCAUCUCACCAGCAAGGACAAUUACUGAUGUUGUUCCGUCUCCUACCUCUUCAUCUUGGGUGCGGCUUAGUUCAAUCAUUGACUUGGCUGCAGGAUGAGCAAGAUCUAGCUCACGGAGAAUUGCAUUUCCAUCAUUGGUUACUACAAUUCCUCCAGCAGCAUCAAGGAGCAUUUUUAACAUGGAUCGUGGUCCCAAAGUGGUACGGAUAAUGUCAGCAACAGCCUUUGCCGCCUGAAUAUUCGCCCGCUGAACCUUGCCACCUUGCUCGCGUUUCAUAGAAUCCUGCAUAACAAGAACUGGAGCAUGCAUCUUGCUAAUUUGAAUGGUGACCUAGAAUGGAAAUGUUGAGAUUUCUGUUCUUCGUAGAUUGUGGGGUUCGCAAGAGGGGGGUGGGUUAGGGCAGAGAGAACACUUCACUAUGAUCUCUAUCAGAGAUUUGAGUUUCUUCGGUGCUCUAUUUGAACAACUCGAAAACCCUCGAAGGGUUUUGGGUAAAAUUCAAG
rnacentral:misc_RNA from 1 species